CAAGCUACUAAGAGCGCACGGCGAAUGCCUUGGCACUAAGAGCCGAUGAAGGACGUAGGAAUCUGCGAUAAGCCCCGGGGAGCUGAUAACCAAGCUGUAAUCCGAGGAUUUCCGAAUGGGGGAACCCGACUGGAGUUAUGUCCAGUUACCACUGUUUGAACACAUAAAACAGAUGGAGGACACGUGGGGAAGUGAAACAUCUCAGUACCCACAGGAAGAGAAAACAAAUAGUGAUUCCGUUAGUAGUGGCGAGCGAAAGCGGAUGAGCCUAAACCAAAAUUGCGUGAUAGCUAACAGGCGUUGCAGUUUUGGGGUCGUGGGACUCGAUAGCAGGAUCUGUUAAUCCUGCAAGAAGUAAGAAACUCGAUAAAUAGACGAAGAACGUGGGAAAGUUCGGGAGACAAGGUAAAACCCCUGUAGUCGAAAUUUAUCGAACUUCUUUUGAGUAUCCCAAGUAAUACGGGGCCCGUGAAAUCCCGUAUGAAUCUGUCAGGACCACCUGAUAAGGCUAAAUACUACUUAGUGACCGAUAGUGAAUCAGUACCGUGAGGGAAUGGUGAAAAGAACCCCGGGAGGGGAGUGAAAUAGAACCUGAAACCGUGUGCUUACAAGCCGUUGGAGCUACACCACGUAAGUGGAAGUGACAGCGUGCCUUUUGAAGAAUGAGUCUGCGAGUUAGUGGUAUGUGGCGAGGUUAACCCGUGAGGGGAAGCCGUAGCGAAAGCGAGUUCGAAUAGAGCGAAUUAGUCGCAUGCCCUAGACCCGAAGCGAGGUGAUCUAACCAUGAGCAGGUUGAAGCGCGGGUAAGACCGCGUGGAGGACCGAACCCACCAAUGUUGAAAAAUUGGGGGAUGACUUGUGGUUAGGGGUGAAAGGCCAAUCAAACUUCGUGAUAGCUGGUUCUCUCCGAAAUGCAUUUAGGUGCAGCGUCGCGUAUUUCUUGGUGGAGGUAGAGCACUGAAUUGCCGAGGGGCCCGAAAGGGUUACCAACGUAAAUCAAACUCCGAAUGCCAUUAAGUAAAGCGCGGCAGUGAGACUGUGGGGGAUAAGCUUCAUAGUCGAGAGGGAGACAACCCAGAUCAACAACUAAGGUCCCAAAGAGUGUGCUAAGUGGUAAAGGAUGUGGAGUCGCAUAGACAACCAGGAUGUUGGCUUAGAAGCAGCCACCAUUAAAAGAGUGCGUAAUAGCUCACUGGUCAAGUAAUUCCGCGCCGACAAUUUAACGGGGCUCAAGCACAUCACCGAAGUUAUGGCAUCAAAUCAUGUAUCAGGCCUUCGUGGUCCAGAUGAUUUGUUGGGUAGGAGAGCGUCGUGUGGCUAGCGAAGCGGCGGUGUAAACCAGCCGUGGAAGCCACACGAGUGAAAAUGCAGACAUGAGUAGCGAAUGACGGGUGAGAAACCCGUCCGCCGAAUGACCAAGGGUUCCAGAGUCAAGCUAAUCUGCUCUGGGUAAGUCGGGCCCUAAGGCGAGGCCGACAGGCGUAGUCGAUGGACAACGGGUUGAUAUUCCCGUACCCGUGACAAUUCGCCAAUGCUGAAUUAGUAAUGCUAAGGACUCUAAGUUGGAGAAGCCUUCGGGUGGAUCUGAUGGUGAUUCCGAACCAAGCUAUUAGUAGGCAAGCAAUGGGGUGACGCAGGAAGGUAGUCCAACCCGGGCGAUGG
rnacentral:rRNA from 1 species